UACGUAGGUGGCAAGCGUUGUUCGGAAUUACUGGGCGUAAAGCGCGCGUAGGCGGAUCUGCAAGUCGGGGGUGAAAUCCCGAGGCUCAACCUCGGAACUGCCUUCGAUACUGCGGGUCUCGAGUCCGGGAGAGGUGAGUGGAAUUCCUAGUGUAGAGGUGAAAUUCGUAGAUAUCGGGAGGAACAUCAGUGGCGAAGGCGGCUACCUGGCCCAAUACUGACACUCAGGGUGCGA
rnacentral:rRNA from 1 species